AUUGAACGCUGGCGGCAUGCUUUACACAUGCAAGUCGAACGGCAGCGCGGGCUUCGGCCUGGCGGCGAGUGGCGAACGGGUGAGUAAUACAUCGGAACGUGCCCAGUAGUGGGGGAUAGCUCGGCGAAAGCCGGAUUAAUACCGCAUACGACCUGAGGGUGAAAGCGGGGGAUCUUCGGACCUCGCGCUAUUGGAGCGGCCGAUGGCGGAUUAGCUAGUUGGUGGGGUAAAGGCCUACCAAGGCGACGAUCUGUCGCUGGUCUGAGAGGACGACCAGCCACACUGGGACUGAGACACGGCCCAGACUCCUACGGGAGGCAGCAGUGGGGAAUUUUGGACAAUGGGCGAAAGCCUGAUCCAGCAAUGCCGCGUGGGUGAAGAAGGCCUUCGGGUUGUAAAGCACUUUUGGCGGGAACGAAAAGGACUGUGCCAAUACCACGGUUCGAUGACGGUACCCGCAGAAUAAGCACCGGCUAACUACGUG
rnacentral:rRNA from 1 species